rnacentral:rRNA from 1 species
AACGCUAGCUACAGGCUUAACACAUGCAAGUCGAGGGGCAGCAUAUUUUUAGCUUGCUAAGAAUGAUGGCGACCGGCGCACGGGUGAGUAACGCGUAUCCAACCUUCCCAUGGCUCAGGGAUAACCUUGCGAAAGUAAGCCUAAUACCUGAUGUCCUCUUUAGCAGGCAUCUAAAGAAGAGGAAAGAUUUAUCGGCGAUGGAUGGGGAUGCGUCCGAUUAGCUUGCCGGUGGGGUAAAGGCCCACCGGGGCGACGAUCGGUAGGGGUUCUGAGAGGAAGGUCCCCCACAUUGGAACUGAGACACGGUCCAAACUCCCACGGGAGGCAGCAGUGAGGAAUAUUGGUCAAUGGGCGAGAGCCUGAACCAGCCAAGUAGCGUGCAGGACGACGGCCCUAUGGGUUGUAAACUGCUUUUAUACGGGAAUAAAGUGAUGCCUGCGGGCGUUAUUGCAUGUACCGUACGAAUAAGGACCGGCUAAUUCCGUGCCAGCAGCCGCGGUAAUACGGAAGGUCCGGGCGUUAUCCGGAUUUAUUGGGUUUAAAGGGAGCGUAGGCUGUCCUUUAAGCGUGUUGUGAAAUGUAGGCGCUCAACGCCUGCACUGCAGCGCGAACUGAAGGACUUGAGUGUGCACGACGCUGGCGGAAUUCGUGGUGUAGCGGUGAAAUGCUUAGAUAUCACGAAGAACUCCGAUUG